CAAGGCUCCACCGAGGGAGCGGGAGCUGGGAAGGUGCCGGGGGCGGGGCUCGCAGAGGAGGCGGGGGAUUGCGGGGGCGUGGCUGGAGGGGGCGUGGUCCGCGGGUGCUGCGCCGGAGUUGGGGAAGCGUCCUGCUGCACACAGGACGCAGUAAGCAGCCGGCGCUGAAGCUAGCGCCCGGGUCGGGACGUUCUUGUGGCAGAGUCGGUCUUGUUCUUGCGAUCCAGUCCUUUCUGGGACCUAGCACCGAGCGCUCUCCGUGCACCAGGCAGGACAGUGGGCAGCAGGGCUGACCCCGCAACUGUGUGAGUCCACCCUUGCACCGGUUCUGCCCUGGAACUCCUGUUCCAGGGAUUCGGGAAUGGACAGACUGGCUCCUGCCCUCAAACUGCUGACAUACUCUUGAGAGGAGCAGAUAAAAGCCAAGUAAAAACCAAACAAGCAGGAUGGACUGUGAGCAUCUCAUCAUCUGAGGAAGACCCUGGGUGGAGAUCACUGAAGGAUUUCUUCAAGAUAUAGUGGUCCCAGCGGUGUGCUGAUGGAUUCUGGGUGUGGAAUGACCCUUCAUGGAUGGUGUUUUACUUCGAUUCAAAACUUAAGCAGCUUAAAUGCUUAUGCUGAAGUUACUCACCCAAAUUUAAAUAAAGUGUGAGAGUGGAGAAAGUUGUUUCCAAAUGAGUGUGCUUUCCAUGUUAUGUGAGUUUUUAAAAUCAAACUUAUUUUGCGAUAAUUAUAGAUUCAAAAGCAGGUGUAAGAUGUAAAACAGAGAUUCCUUGUACACUUUGCCCAGUUCCCCCCAAAGGUAACAUCUUCAAAACACAACCGCAUGAUAAUCCAGCCAUGACACCAACACGGAUGAAUGGCCAUCUUAGAUUUCUCCAGUUUUGCUUACGCGGAUGUCACAAGGCUGUGUCACAUGUAGACUCGUAGACUCCUUCCCACUGCUACAGUCAAGACUAUUUCCAUCGCCAAGAGGACCCCAUUUCCCUCCCGCUCCCUCUUCAAACCACUGAUAGGCUCUCCACUUCUAAAAUUUUAUCUUUUCAAAAGUGUCAACAAGUGGAAUUUGUGCAUAUUAAUAAAGGGGACCCUCACUAAAAUGGAAUAGGGAGGCUCUACAGGUGAAGACCCAGCAAAAAGAGAGGGACUUUGAAAGUAAAUCAGUGCCACUGUAGCUACAACUUUAUCCCAGCAGGAGGAAAGCUUCCACCUCCCCCAGCAACAGCCUAGCCAAUGAGAAGCCAGUACAUUUCCACCUCCCAGUUUUACCCCAAAGGACUUUCUGUUUUCCUCCCAACUUCCUCUUUCCUCUCUUUUCCCAGACUAGCCUUUGGUUUUGUUGUAGGUUGCUUGCCCUGGACUGUGAUUCUCUGCUAUUCCCAAAUAAACCCAUUUUUUGCUGGUAAAAUAACUGGCAGUUUCCCUUUGAGGGUGAUAGAUUACAUAGUAUGUAACUUUCUGAACUUGGAUUUUUUUCCCCACUCAGCAUAAUUACCCUGAGAUUCUGCAGACCCGCUUUGUGUAUGAACAGGGCAUUCUCCCUGAGUCCCAGUCCAUGCUGUGGAUGCAGUAUGGUUGGCUUAACCAUGUGCUCACUAAAAAGCAAGUGAGUUGUUUUCAGUUUUGGGGUAUCACAAAUAAAGCUGCUGCAAAUAUUUGGGUAUGGAUUUUUGUUGAAAGUAAGUUUUUAGUUUUCCGGGAUAAAUGCCUCAGAAUGCA